CCGUCCAUGGUGCUCGUCACCUCGGACUGUUAAUCCGUAGGUCCCUGGUUCGAGCCCAGGUCGAGGAGCCA
rnacentral:tRNA from 1 species